ACAAUUCAAUCAAAUUUCAUUGGUUUAACAACAACGUUUUCAUCAUUCCCACAAUUCAAUCAAAUUCCAUGGGUUUAAGAGCAGCGUUUUCAUCAUUCACUCAAUUCAAUCAAAUUUUAAUGGUUUUAAGAGCAACAAUUUCAUCAUUCCCACAAUUUAAUCAAUUUUCACGGGUUUAACAGUAACAUUUUCAUCAUUCCCACAAUUCAAUCAAAUUUCAUUGGUUUAACAACAACGUUUUCAUCAUUCCCUCAAUUCAAUCAAAUUCCAUGGGUUUAAUAGCAGAAUUUUCAUCAUUCACUCAAUUCAAUCAAAUUUUAAUGGUUUUAAGAGCAACAAUUUCAUCAUUCCCACAAUUCAAUCAAUUUUCACGGGUUUAACUAUAACAUUUUCA
rnacentral:lncRNA from 1 species